UUCUUAUCCAGAGAGGUGAAGGGACUGGCCCGAUGAAACCUCAGCAACCAUAUUUUGUAUGGUGCUAAUUCCAGCAAAGCAUAGCUUUGGAAGAUAAGAA
rnacentral:ncRNA from 2 species